rnacentral:rRNA from 1 species
UACGAAGGGGGGCUAGCGUUGCUCGGAAUCACUGGGCGUAAAGGGUGCGUAGGCGGGUCUUUAAGUCAGGGGUGAAAUCCUGGAGCUCAACUCCAGAACUGCCUUUGAUACUGAGGAUCUUGAGUUCGGGAGAGGUGAGUGGAACUGCGAGUGUAGAGGUGAAAUUCGUAGAUAUUCGCAAGAACACCAGUGGCGAAGGCGGCUCACUGGCCCGAUACUGACGCUGAGGCACGAAAGCGUGGGGAGCAAACAGGG